rnacentral:lncRNA from 1 species
CCCAUGCUCAAAACUUUUCUCCAUGACUGGUUAGCUGUGGGUGGCAUGAACAUAUUCGAUACAAGUUGUCGCUCAUGAUUCCUCAACUGCAACUUCAUGUCAAACUCCUAACAGAAACAAGGUGAUAAAACUAAGUUUCUAAGCUGAUUUCACACUUUCUAUUAAAUCAAUCAAAAUGGUGCUUCAUUCAGAGGUGUCAUUGCACAGGGACGAAGGAUGUCUUACCAUUUGAACAUCUUCUUGCCCUGAGCCCCUUCCCAUUUUUGGAAGGUAAAAAUCAUAGAAGUCACUGAAAAUUGCUUCAGAAAUGCGUGGAGCCUGCAAGAACUUGCGAUGAAGAGAAGCUGC